rnacentral:rRNA from 1 species
UACGGCGGGUGCGAGCGUUAUCCGGAUUCACUGGGUUUAAAGGGUGCGUAGGUGGGAAUGUAAGUCAGUGGUGAAAUCUCCGUGCUUAACACGGAAACUGCCAUUGAUACUAUGUUUCUUGAAUUUUCUGGAGGUUAGCGGAAUAUGUCAUGUAGCGGUGAAAUGCUUAGAUAUGACAUAGAACACCGAUUGCGAAGGCAGCUAACUACAGGGAUAUUGACACUGAGGCACGAAAGCGUGGGGAGCAAACAGG